CCUACGGAGUGCAGCAGUAGGGAAUAUUGCUCAAUGGGGGAAACCCUGAAGCAGCAACGCCGCGUGGAGGAUGAAGGUUUUAGGAUUGUAAACUCCUUUUGUUAGAGAAGAUAAUUACGGUAUCUCACGAAUCCGCCCCGGCUAACUCCUUGCCAGCAGCCGCGGUCAUACGGAGGGUGCAAGCGUUACUCGGAAUCACUGGGCGUAAAGAGUGCGCAGGCGGGAUUGUAAGUCAGAUGUGAAAUCCUGUAGCUUAACUACAGAACUGCAUUGGAAACUAUGAGUCUAGAGUGUGGGAGAGGUAGGUGGAAUUCUUGGUGUAGGGGUAAAAUCCGUAGAUAUCAAGAGGAAUACUCAUUGCGAAGGCGACCUACUGGAACAUGACUGACGCUCAUGCACGAAAGCGUGGGGAGCAAACAGGAUUAGAUACCCCUGUAGUC
rnacentral:rRNA from 1 species